UUAACUUCCACUGUACACAUCAAAGAAGCAUCGCCAUGAGAAAAAUCAGCGUGGUUCCAAACAAGGAGACAGGCUGGAAGAACAGGCAGUGGAAACCCAGACAUAGCAUCAAAACCACGGAAAUGAAGGAAUCAGAAGUGGAAGAUUAGAAGUAAAAAGUGGAAGAUUUUUUUCCUAUCCAGUGCCUGUUACAGAAUUCUGACAUUAUCUCUGGUAGUUACUACGAUGAGCAGCAACAUCUGGGCCUGCCAAUCUUCAAAAUCCAUAAGUGGGCUACUGCCUGGAGCAUAAAUCUGCUUUGUAUGUGGCAUUUUGAACUAACAGAACACAACAUUGCGAAAAUAGACUGCAUUGGAAAUACUCCCUCAGAGAAGAAAGAAUGCAUUGCAUGGCCUUCACAUGCCUUUUACUGCAGAUAUAAUGAAUCUAUAAUAGCAUCCUCUUCUUCACCCCCCAACCCAGCUAGCUAGGUAGCUGCAAUUUACAAGCAAUGGAUUGAUUUUAGCUCGGAAGUCUCAACUGACACAGGAAAUGUUCACUGCUCUGUCUGCAAAGUCACUGAAAAUUCUGUGUAUAAACUGGGUAAGAGCUCAUGCAAAUAUCCAGCUGGGGAUUUAACAGACGGUCUCUGCACACUAUGUC